AGGGGUGCCCACACUUUUUCGGCUUGCGAGCUACUUUUAAAAUGACCAGGUCGAAAUGAUCUACCUACAUUAAAAAUGCUAUAUAUAUAUAUAUAUUUUCCCUCUCCUUUCUCUUUCUCAGAUCUCUUUUCGGAAGGAAGUCAGUUUCGUUGUUUUUAUGAACAGUUCGAAGUGCCUUUCCACAUUUUCCUUCUUUGGAAUAUCAAUGAUAGAUUGACAGAUCAGACAAACGCACUUCGAUUGUGACAUUGUGAGAGAAAAAAAUCCUCUUCCAAUUCCACAUCCAGCCCAUACCCUCCCCAAACAA